ACCCCGCGCGACCGUGCCUAUGGCCGCCACCGCUACGCUCCAGGUGACCUCCCGCGGUUCCACCUUUCUCUCCCUUCCUCCUCCCAUCGCAUCCCCAGUCUAUCUAUCCUCUCCGCCCACCUCUACCGUAGCAGCGCGCCACCACCUCCGCGUACUAUGUCUGGAUCUCUGAGCCCACCUCCAUCGAGGAGCGCCGCCGUCUCCUGCUCCAACGGCUUCACCUACCCGUCGCCUUCCCCGACUCACAGCUCGCCUCUACCUCCUGCUCCAGCGACGUUCAACGCUGCCGGUAUGGGCGAUCUUCGUCGCUCUGGUGGACCACGUGACGGCGGUGGCGGAUAGCAACUCAACUAGGAAGUACUUCGCCACGACGGUGAUGGACUUCCAGCAACGGUUCGCGUUGGAGUCCGUUGCUGGCAUCUCGCGAGAUGCCCCGACCCAUCAUCCAUUUCACGCGCCAGCAAGAAAGUAGAUAAGAACACAUUGCAUUUUCAGUUUUUGAUGUCGAACACAAUCGUUCAGCUCUACUUUCUCUGCAAGUAACCACAAUACUUUAUUGCCCAUAUGCAUGAUCUUGGUCGUGUGAAUUUCAUAGAGCUUUCAACCAUACAUCUUCUUGUCAUCUGUUCUGCACUUUAAACAGAAGAUGUCUCGUCCUGGAUAACUUUGGGAAGCCAGCCAUCAUAGCCCCAGACAGCAUAAACCCAUGGUGGUCGCUCCUUGAAGAAGCUGUGAAGAGUGCUGGCAACAAGCUUGGCAAGUUAGAGAUAUUCCCAGCCUCUACUAACUCUUGCUACUUCCGGCAGAUCAGAUUACCAGCAUUUGGUUUUUCAUCUAUGACGAACACCCCGAUACUGCUCCAUGAGACCAUGACCAUAAUGUGGUUUGUGUCAUUGGUUUUGGUUUGGCCUUCUGACGCCAUUAAGGACCACAGUGACGGUUCAGAUAGCCAUAGAUUCAGAUGAAACAGGACAUCUUUAGGACUGCAGUGACGCUUCAGAUACCCACAGAUUCAGAUAAAACAUGGCAUAUGUAGUCAUAGUGCUCUCCUUCUAUUUCCUGUCACUUGAUGACCUGUUUCACAAAGCUCAAUUCAUAUUAAAAAGGAUACUCUGCAUUCUCCUCAUCUUUAAGUACGGUGAUCCAUAUUUUUAUAAACAUUGUCUUGGAAAGCUGGAAGGUGCUAUACAUUAUCCAUGUGUUAGGUGGGCAAGUCAUCUUACGCCAAUGAGAAGCUUAGGUUGAAGUCAAUGCCUUGGCACAACUAAUGACAUGGAAAACAACGGUCUAGGUUAACAUGGGCUUCAGAUUGCAUUGCUGGGAAAGAUGAAAUGGAAUUCAAAUUUUGGUGGCCGCACAAGUGUGAAGACUUGAAUUCAUAUAUAUACUUAGUUAGGCUCAACGUUAGCACAAACAGUUGAUGACCAAAAUUUUCAAUUAGUAUUUUAGUUUGGAUUUAGAGUACACUUAUGUAUAAGUUAUUUGAUAAUUGCUUGUUUAUGAGAUAUUGAAUGAUACUUGUCUAUAUUAUAUUAAUUAUAAUGUUAUUACAUAUAUGU